AAAGGCAUCCCAUUUCUACUCCAUUUCAAUAGAAAUGGGGGAGCCGUAAAAAAGGAGGAAAACCCCGCCGGGCCGGCGGUGCGGCAGUGUGGAGACCUGUCGUAACGUCCGCAGGACCAAGCGCCUGCGGACAAGGGGGUAGGUGCGAAGGCUCUGCCCUUACGGCCCAUGCGCAUGGCA
ncrna:unclassified sequences malK-I RNA